rnacentral:misc_RNA from 1 species
AGAUCUUGUAGGUUUCAACCGCCUUCUUAGAUCUCUUCUUCUUUUUGUCUCCGGCAGCUGCACUGCUAUCCUUUGGUAGCUUCUUACCGGCCUUUGGCUUCUUCUCUGCCGGAGAUUUCUCCGCUAAGGGAGUUUUUUCAGCUGCUGGCUUCUUCUCGGCGGGCUUUUUCUCAGCUUUUGGUGCCAUUGUAAGGAAGAAGAAAGGGGAACUUUACAGAUGCUUUGAAUGGAAUUUGGGAU